UGUAGAGUGCAUUCCCGAGAAAUCGGGAUUUUCUUCGGAACUCUUUGCAAGGUGCUGCAUGGUUGUCGUCAGCUCGUGCCGUGAGGUGUCGGGUUAAGUCCCAUAACGAGCGCAACCCUUAUCGUUAGUUGCCAGCGGGUAAUGCCGGGAACUCUAGCGAAACUGCCGGUGUAAACCGUGAGGAAGGUGGGGAUGACGUCAAAUCAGCACGGCCCUUAUGUCCAGGGCUACACACGUGUUACAAUGGCCGGUACAGAGGGCAGCUACCUGGAGACAGGAUGCGAAUCUCCAAAGCCGGUCUCAGUUCGGAUCGGAGUCUGCAACUCGACUCCGUGAAGCUGGAUUCGCUAGUAAUCGCGCAUCAGCCAUGGCGCGGUGAAUACGUUCCCGGGCCUU
rnacentral:rRNA from 1 species